rnacentral:rRNA from 1 species
GAUGAACGCUAGCGGCAGGCCUAAUACAUGCAAGUCGAACGGUCCACUUCGGUGGAUAGUGGCGCACGGGUGCGUAACACGUAUGCAACCUACCUUACAUUGGGGGAUAGCCUUUCGAAAGGGAGAUUAAUACCGCAUAAGACAGUAACAUGGCAUCAUGUAGCUGUUAAAGAUUUAUCGAUGUAAGCUGGGCAUGCGUCCAAUUAGUUAGUUGGUGAGGUAAUGGAUCACCAAGACGAUGAUUGGUAGGGGAACUGAGAGGUCAAUCCCCCACACUGGCACUGAGAUACGGGCCAGACUCCUACGGGAGGCAGCAGUAGGGAAUAUUGGGCAAUGGACGCAAGUCUGACCCAGCCAUGCCGCGUGCAGGAAGAAGGCGUUCUGCGUUGUAAACUGCUUUUAUAUAGGAAGAAACGACCCUUGCGAGGGGCAUUGACGGUACCCGGAGAAGAAGCCCCGGCUAACUCCGUGCCAGCCGCCGCAGUAAUAC